CGGAUCUUUCCAUGCAAGUCGAACGGCAGCGCGAGAGAGCUUGCUCUCUUGGCGGCGAGUGGCGGACGGGUGAGUAAUAUAUCGGAACGUGCCCAGUAGCGGGGGAUAACUACUCGAAAGAGUGGCUAAUACCGCAUACGCCCUACGGGGGAAAGGGGGGGAUCGCAAGACCUCUCACUAUUGGAGCGGCCGAUAUCGGAUUAGCUAGUUGGUGGGGUAAAGGCUCACCAAGGCAACGAUCCGUAGCUGGUUUGAGAGGACGACCAGCCACACUGGGACUGAGACACGGCCCAGACUCCUACGGGAGGCAGCAGUGGGGAAUUUUGGACAAUGGGGGAAACCCUGAUCCAGCCAUCCCGCGUGUAUGAUGAAGGCCUUCGGGUUGUAAAGUACUUUUGGCAGAGAAGAAAAGGUAUCCCCUAAUACGGGAUACUGCUGACGGUAUCUGCAGAAUAAGCACCGGCUAACUACGUGCCAGCAGCCGCGGUUAUACGUAGGGUGCAAGCGUUAUCGGAAUUACUGGUCGUAAAGCGUGUUGUAGGCGGGCUCGGGAAAGGAAAGAUGUAAAAAUCCCCAGGGAUUCAACCCUUUGGAAACUGCCAUUUUUUUACUGCCCGAGUUAAGAGUAUGUUCAGAAUGGGGGGUAGGAGAUUCCCCGGUGUUAGCAGUGCAAAUGGGGUAGUUUUCUUGUUGGAAACACCGGAUUGCCGAAGGUCGGUCCCCCUGGUGGAUUAUUACCCGACCGCCCCAGACACCGCUAAAGCCAGGUGGAAAGACAAAUACACGUUUUCUUUUCUCCUGGCUUGACUGAUCACUAAGUGUCUCAUGUGCGUCUACCUGUAUAUUGCUCCUAAACUCGUACGGCAUUCGGGUUCUGAGGCUGCGGCGCGGAUGUGUAUUAGGAGUUACGUUAUUUAAGAUUAUA
rnacentral:rRNA from 1 species